GCCAGCAUGGUGCAGUGGUUUGAGCAUUGGACUACUACUCUAGAGACCAGGGUUCGAUUCCCAGCUCAGCCC